GAUAAAAUGGCUGAGUUAAAGGCGAUAAAUUGUAAAUUUAUAAACGAGAGUUCUCUUUUAUCA
rnacentral:tRNA from 1 species